UAAAAAAUUUGUAAUAUAUACAUAUAUUGAAGCUUUAUCGAACGGUACACGAGCGAGCUGACACCAUGCGACACUCCUAAAAUUUAAAAUAGUUCUGUAUAUAAGAUAUAAUAAGACUAAACCCUUUAUUCCAUCUAUAUUAUUUUAAACGGUGACCAGACCCAAAUAUUGAGCAUGUUAUGACUAAAAUAGUUCUAGGAUAGAUUGUUCUCAAAAAGCACUAGUCGAAAGUAUGAGAUGAGUCUCAGUUAAGUUAGAAUCAUAUAGCAAAUUUAGUGCAGCUUUAUAUAUAAUAAUAUAAUAAUAAGGUUAAACCUUUUUAUCCGACUAUAGUAUUUUGGACAGUAACGAACUAGAAUAGUUCUAAAACAUGCAACUCUUAAAGCUUCGUUUGAUUCAGAUAUAAGUAAGAACUAGCUAUUACAGGGAUAGGUACACGUAUGAGGAUAAGAAAAAUAGCAUUUGAAUGAAAAUUGGAUUAUUUCUGAAGAUAAGAAAAAUAGCGUUUGAAUAGAUAAUAUAGAAUAAAAAAAAUAGUGAUAGUUAUAUAUAAAAAACGAAGAUGUUGGUAGGGAUAAUUAUACCAGCUUAUUUUAGUUUGCGUAUAAAAAGAAUAAGAAGUUAUUCCUCUCCUUAUCUCCGAUCCAAACGGUGCCUUAUAGAACACAUUAUGCACGAGCUAAAUCUCAAGUGGAAAAAUUCAGCUCUUGUUCGGGUUGAGCUUAUUCGCACCUGCCGUGGGCGACUUGCCACCCGAGCCGCCGCGUCCGCGAUGCGAGGCCGCGGCGACGCGUGGCGCUAAUCCUCUUGCUGACGUGGAAUCUCCUGUGGGCCCUAUCCCCCCUCCUCUCUCUCUCUCUC
rnacentral:lncRNA from 1 species